UUCCUGGUGGUCCAGUGGUUAGGAUGCUGAGCUUUCACUGCUGAGGGCCUGGGUUCAAUCCCUAGCCAGGGAA
rnacentral:tRNA from 1 species